rnacentral:rRNA from 1 species
AUACAUAUUUAACAUACCCCUAGGAGGGGGAUAGCCGCCUGAAAAGGCGAUUAAUACCGCAUAGGAGCCCAAAUCAAAAGAAGGGGGCUUUAAAGGAGGAAACUCCGCCAAGGGAUUGGGAUAUGCUCUAUUAGCUAGUUGGCGGGAUAAAAGCCCACCAAGGCGAUGAUAGAUAGCUGGUCUAAGAGGAUGAACAGCCACAAUGGGAUUGAGAUACGGCCCAUAUUCCUACGGGAAGCAGCAGUAGGGAAUCUUCCACAAUGGGCGAAAGCCUGAUSAGAGCAAUGCCAUGUGAACGAUGAAGGCKUAUUGGUCGUAAAGUUCUUUUAGGGGGGAAGACAAAAGGACGGUACCUCCUGAAUAAGUGACAGCAAACUAUGUGRCAGCAGCUGCGGUAAUACAUAGGUCGCGAGCGUUAUUCGGAUUUAUUGGGCGUAAAGCAAGCGCAGGCGGAUGGAUAAGUUCUGUGUGAAAAGCAGCUGCUCAACAGCUGUUGGCGCCGAAUACUAUCCAUCUAGAAUACGGUAGAAAGUUUUGGAAUUGAAUAUGGAGCGGUGGAAUGUGUAGAUAUAUUCAAGAACACCAGAGGCGAAGGCGAAAACUUAGGCCGCUAUUGACGCUUAGGCUUGAAAGUGUGGGGAGCAAAUGGGAUUAGAUACCCCAGUAGUCCACACUGUAAACGAUGGGUAUUAAGUCUUGGGACUAGAGUCUCAGGGCUGGAGCUUACGUGUUAAAUACCCCGCCUGGGUAGUACAUAUGCAAAUAUGAAACUCAAAGGAAUUGACGGGGACCUGAACAAGUGGUGGAACAUGUUGCUUAAUUCGAUACUACACGAAAAACCUUACCAAGAUUUGACAUCCCUCGCGAAGCUUUAGAGAUAAAGUGAAGGUUAUCGAGGUGACAGGUGGUGCAUGGUUGUCGUCAGCUCGUGUCAUGAGAUGUUGGGUUAAGUCCCGCAACGAGCGCAACCCUACUCUCUAGUUGAUUGUUUAGAGAGACUGAACAGUAAUGUA